rnacentral:rRNA from 1 species
GAUGAACGCUGGCGGCGUGCUUAACACAUGCAAGUCGAGCGAAGCGCUUUGGAAAGAUUCUUCGGAUGAUUUCCUUAGUGACUGAGCGGCGGACGGGUGAGUAACGCGUGGGUAACCUGCCUCAUACAGGGGGAUAACAGUUAGAAAUGACUGCUAAUACCGCAUAAGACCACGGUACCGCAUGGUACAGUGGUAAAAACUCCGGUGGUAUGAGAUGGACCCGCGUCUGAUUAGGUAGUUGGUGGGGUAACGGCCUACCAAGCCGACGAUCAGUAGCCGACCUGAGAGGGUGACCGGCCACAUUGGGACUGAGACACGGCCCAGACUCCUACGGGAGGCAGCAGUGGGGAAUAUUGCACAAUGGAGGAAACUCUGAUGCAGCGACGCCGCGUGAAGGAUGAAGUAUUUCGGUAUGUAAACUUCUAUCAGCAGGGAAGAAAAUGACGG